UACGUAGGGUGCGAGCGUUAAUCGGAAUUACUGGGCGUAAAGCGUGCGCAGGCGGUUUGCUAAGACCGAUGUGAAAUCCCCGGGCUUAACCUGGGAACUGCAUUGGUGACUGGCAGGCUAGAGUAUGGCAGAGGGGGGGUAGAAUUCCACGUGUAGCAGUGAAAUGCGUAGAGAUGUGGAGGAAUACCGAUGGCGAAGGCAGCCCCCUGGGCCAAUACUGACGCUCAUGC
rnacentral:rRNA from 1 species